rnacentral:rRNA from 1 species
AUUGAACGCUGGCGGCAUGCCUUACACAUGCAAGUCGAACGGUAACAGGUCUUCGGAUGCUGACGAGUGGCGAACGGGUGAGUAAUACAUCGGAACGUGCCUAGUAGUGGGGGAUAACUACUCGAAAGAGUGGCUAAUACCGCAUGAGAUCUACGGAUGAAAGCAGGGGAUCGCAAGACCUUGUGCUACUAGAGCGGCCGAUGGCGGAUUAGGUAGUUGGUGGGAUAAAAGCUUACCAAGCCGACGAUCUGUAGCUGGUCUGAGAGGACGAACAGCCACACUGGGACUGAGACACGGCCCCGACUCCUACGGGAGGCAGCAGUGGGGAAGUUUGGACAAUGGGCGCAAGCCUGAUCCAGCAAUGCCGCGUGAAGGAUGAAGGCCUUCGGGUUGUAAACUGCUUUUGUACGGAACGAAAAGCCCCGGGUUAAUACCCUGGGGUCAUGACGGUACCGUAAGAAUAAGCACCGGCUAACUACGUGCCAGCAGCCGCCGUAA